rnacentral:lncRNA from 1 species
CUCUUCUCCUCAGUAAGGUGCUGCUCCCCACAUCAUCCCAGAGGGACGGUUAAAAUGGUCGCUUGUGGGUCGUUUCCCCCAGAGCCAGGCAGGGUUCUCUUGUGAAGAAGGAAAUUGUGAUAUUGUGAUGUGAAACACCAACCCGUAUGUCUGCAGUGGGGCUGGUCCCAGGGGGAUUAAGAAGGAAGAGGAAGACCUAGUUUCAGCAGUGGAGGACUAGCCUAACUCUGCAGAGGCCUCUGCCAUGGACUUCAAUCUCCUCUAGAUCUGUCUACAAUAUCGUUCAACCCAAAUCCACACAAGCACUUAGUGGAACACUUAGGAAACUGAAAAAGUUCCACUUCAGGCUGUAGACCCUGUUUGUGCUGGAUACAGCAUUAAGUGUGUAACAAACCUGAGUGCUUGACCUGAGGAAUCUCACUGCUCUGCCUCGAGGAAUGAUUUCUACUUGAAGGCAACAGAAUCUCCAUCAAGAAGAGCUGUUCGCUGGUCUUGUGGUUUGUGGAUGAGGAGCAGAACCCAUUGCUCUGUACACAGGAGGGAAAGCACUGAUCACUGAGUGAGUGUCUUUAGCACCUUCUGGGAGAUAUAACACCUUUUAAAUCUCAGAAAAUGACACUUGAUUGAAUUUUCUUUCAUUUCUAGAUAAAGUUCUUUUCUCCUUUCACACAGCUCUUAUUCUUUUAGAUUGAUUUAAUCAUAGGUUAGAACCAUGAGGAACAUA